rnacentral:rRNA from 1 species
AGCGAGAGGUGCUUGCACCUUUCAAGCGAGUGGCGAACGGGUGAGUAACACGUGGAUAACCUGCCUCAAGGCUGGGGAUAACAUUUGGAAACAGAUGCUAAUACCGAAUAAAACUUAGUAUCGCAUGAUAUCAAGUUAAAAGGCGCUACGGCGUCACCUAGAGAUGGAUCCGCGGUGCAUUAGUUAGUUGGUGGGGUAAAGGCUUACCAAGACGAUGAUGCAUAGCCGAGUUGAGAGACUGAUCGGCCACAUUGGGACUGAGACACGGCCCAAACUCCUACGGGAGGCUGCAGUAGGGAAUCUUCCACAAUGGGCGCAAGCCUGAUGGAGCAACGCCGCGUGUGUGAUGAAGGCUUUCGGGUCGUAAAGCACUGUUGUAUGGGAAGAAAUGCUAAAAUAGGGAAUGAUUUUAGUUUGACGGUACCAUACCAGAAAGGGACGGCUAAAUACGUGCCAGCAGCCGCGGUAAUACGUAUGUCCCGAGCGUUAUCCGGAUUUAUUGGGCGUAAAGCGAGCGCAGACGGUUGAUUAAGUCUGAUGUGAAAGCCCGGAGCUCAACUCCGGAAUGGCAUUGGAAACUGGUUAACUUGAGUGUUGUAGAGGUAAGUGGAACUCCAUGGG